AUGAGAAAAUUUGCAUACCGCAAGGUGGUCCUAGCCACCUCCUUGAUUUGGGUACUCUUGGACAUGUUCCUGCUGCUUUACUUCAAUGAAUGCAGCAAAUGUGAUGAAAAAAAGGAGAGAGGACUCCCUGCUAGUGAUGUUCUAGAGCCAGUACAAAAGCCUCAUGAAGGUUCUGGAGAAAUGGGGAAACCAGUCGUCAUUCCUAAAGAGGAUCAAGAAAUGUUGAAAGAGAUGUUUAAAAUCAAUCAGUUCAAUCUAAUCGCAAGUGAAAUGAUUGCACUCAACAGAUCUUUAUCAGAUGUUAGGUUAGAAGGGUGUAAAACAAAGGUAUAUCCAGGUAAUCUUCCUGCAAGUGUGGUGAUUGUUUCCACAAUAAGGCUUGGAGCACACUUCUGCCAACUGUCCAUAGUGUCAUUAAUUACUUACCAAGACACCUGAUAGAAGAAAUUGUUCUAGUAGAUGAUGGCAGUGAAAGAGACUUUUUGAAAAGGAUUUUAGAGAGUUAUGUGAAAAAACUAAAAGUACCAGUUCAUGUAAUUCGAAUGGAACAACGUUCUGGAUUGAUCAGAGCUAGAUUAAAAGGAGCUGCUGUGUCUAAAGUCCAAGUGAUCACCUUCCUGGAUGCUCAUUGUGAGUGUACCGUGGGGUGGCUGGAGCCUUUCUUGGCCAGGAUCAAACAUGACAGGAUAACAGUGGUGUGUCCUAUCAUCGAUGUGAUCAGUGAUGAUACUUUUGAGUAUGGCACGCUCUGAUAUGACUUACGGUGUGUUCAGCUAGAAGCUCAAUUUUCACUGGUAUCCUGUUCCCCAAAGAGAAAUGGGCAGAAGGAAAGGUGAUCAGACUCUUCUUCUUAAAACACCUACCAUGGCAGGAGGCCUUUUUUCCGUAGACAGAGAUUACUUUCAGGAAAUUGGAACAUAUGAUUCUGUAAUGGAUAUCUGGGGAGGAGAAAACCUAGAAAUUUCCUUUCUGAUUUGGCAGUGUGGAGGAACUUUGGAAAUUGUUACAUGCUCACAUGUUGGACAUGUGUUUUGAAAAGCUACACCUUACACAUUUCCAGGAGGCACAGGGCAGAUUAUCAAUAAAAAUAACAAAUAAUUUGCAGAAGUGUGGAUGGAUGAAUUCAGGAAUUUCUUCUAUAUAAUUUCUCCAGAUAUUACAAAGGUAGAUUAUGGAGAUACAUCAUCAAGAGCUGGUCUAAGACACAAACUACAAUGCAAGCCUUUUUUUUUUUUUUUUUUUUUGGUACUUAGAGAAUAUUUAUCCUGAUUCUCAAAUUCCAUGUCACUAUUUCUCAAUGGGAGAGAUGAGAAGUGUGGAAAUAAAUCAGUGUCUAGAUAACAUAGCUAGAAAAGAGAAUGAAAAAGUGGGCAUUUUUAAUUGCCAUGGUAUGGGGGUAAUCAGGUUUUCACUUAGACUGCCAACAAAGAAAUCAGAACAGACAACUUUUGCUUGGAUGUUUCCAAAUUUAAUGGCCCAGUUACAAUGCUCAAAUGCCACCACAUAAAAGGCAACCAACUGUGGGAGUAUGAUCCAGGGAAAUUAAUCCUAAAGCUUGUGAACAGUAAUCAGUGGCUACAUAAAGCCAUAGAAGAGAAUAGGCAGGUGCCCAGCAUUAGAGACUGCAGUGGAAGUUGGUCCCAGCAGUGGCUUCUUUGAAAUAUCACCCUGCAAGAAAUAUUCUGAGACCAAAUUUUUUUAAAAAUGAAAAAAAUGAGGAUUGACUAGGGUACCUCAGCAUACAUUUCUGCCACAUUCUUAAGUAGCAAAAAAGGAAAAGUGCUUUCCUCCUCUGCAGGAUGUAAUGUUUAUCAGCUACUAAAACUUAGACUUCUCUAGCUUUUCACUAGCAAUGAACAAACCUUCCUGUCCAUGGACGUGAACCUGCAUAGUAAUCAGACUGUGCACACUGAUAUUUACAAGAUUGAAAGAAUCUUUCUCCAAAAAUCAUGGCAAAGAAUAUUGAGACAAUAAAAAAAUCAACAAAAUAUGCUUUCUGGAGAACUAUACCUUUUAUGGUUUGCUUGCACAUCAGUAAUUUCUGCUGCACAUGCUGUCAUAAUGAAGAGAUGUCCAAGAUUUUUUCCUCAUUAGAACUGGUAGCCAGUAUAUUAAAUAUUGAUAUAAAAAUAAAAGAACUGGAACCCGAUACAGAAUCAUGAAAACAACAUUUUUUACAACAGCAAACUACAUUAAACAGGGUUUAAAGGAAAUUAGAACUAUGAGAAGUACAAUUUGUUAGUGUAUCAAAUUUCUAUAUAGAUUUUAUACUUCAGUGGGGAAAAAUAACUGAUUCCAAUGACAUUCAUUAUGUUUUUAUCUGUGAUAGUCAUGGAUGCUUUUAUUUUUCUUGGGAUGCUGAAAUUGAGCUAAAAAAAAAAAAGGCUGUUUGAAUGUAGUUUUAAUUUCUCUCUACAGUUUUUUUCUUUGGUUUGUGGGCUGUUGGAAUUGUAAUUUUUAAUUGCCUUCUAAAAAAAUGGGAAUUUAACAUAAUGUCUGGCCUCAACUGAACAAAUUAAAUGUUUCAGUUGCUCUUGGGUUAACUGGCUUAUAGAUUUACGUGUGCAUACACACACACACAAAUUUCUUAUCACAUUUUAAACUUCUUAACUUGACCCACCUGAUUAUGCUUAAUACCCAAGAUCCACACUACUUUACCACAGAUUUGUUUUCACAGCAAUAAAUCUUCACUUCUUUGUUUAUGAUUCCACUUAAAAAAAAA